AGCAGCCGCGGUAAUUCCAGCUCCAAUAGCGUAUAUUAAAGUUGUUGCAGUUAAAAGCUCGUAGUUGAAUUUCGGAAUCAAUGGAUCGGUCAUGCCACUCGGUGUGUACUGGUUUGAUUGGUUCUCACCUUCUAAGGAACCGUGAUGUCAUUAAUUUGGUGUCGCGGGGAAUUAGGACUGUUACUUUGAAAAAAUUAGAGUGUUUAAAGCAAGCUCACGCUUGAAUACAUUAGCAUGGAAUAAUGAAAUAGGACAUUGUAUUCUAUUUUGUUGGUUUCUAGGAUCGAUGUAAUGAUUAAUAGGGAUAGUUGGGGGCAUUAGUAUUCAAUUGUCAGAGGUGAAAUUCUUGGAUUUAUUGAAGACUAACUACUGCGAAAGCAUUUUGCCAAGGAUGUUUUCAUUAAUCAAGAACGAAAGUUAGGGGAUCGAAGACGAUCAGAUACCGUCGUAGUCUUAACCAUAAACUAUGCCGACUAGGGAUCGGAUGAUGUUAAUUUUUUUAAUGACUCAUUCGGCACCU
rnacentral:misc_RNA from 1 species